rnacentral:rRNA from 1 species
AUUGAACGCUGGCGGCAGGCCUAACACAUGCAAGUCGAACGAGUGGCGGACGGGUGAGUAAUGUCUGGGAAACUGCCCGACGGAGGGGGAAGACGACUGGAAACGGUAGCUAAUACCGCAUAACAUCGGAUGUGGCCAGAUGGGAUUAGCUAGUAGGUGGGGUAACGGCACACUGAGGAGACGAUCCCUAGCCGGGCUGAGAGGAUGACCGGCCACACUGGAACUGAGACACGGUCCAGACUCCUACGGGAGGCAGCAGUGGGGAAUAGUACACAAUGGGCGCAAGCCUGAUGCAGCCAUGCCGCGUGUCUGAAGAAGGCCUUCGGGUUUUAAAGUUCUUUCUUCGAGGAGGCGGUACUCGAAGAAGAAGCACCGGCUAACUCCGUGCCAGCAGCCGCGGUAAUUC